AAAAAAUGAUUCUGACCCCUUGUAAAUGUUACAUGUUUUUAUCUGGUUAAUUUCACUGAUUUUAAUGUGUUAUUUAAUCCUACUUAUUUUUUAUUAUUAAUUUUCAAAUUCACUGCUUUUGUUUAAAACAAGUUAAUUUCAUUCAAUUAAAAGUAAUUAGAAAAAAAUACGUUUCAUUUAAUUUCCAUAUACUAUCCGGUCUGCGCAUGUGCAGACACUUUUUUUCCUGAAGGGGCCAAGGCGGGGAGAUUGAACGUGAUGCACUCAUUUGAAUGCUGCAUCCAGCUCUGCAUUUUCGGUAAGUAAUCAAUAUAUAAUCAUUGGUGUGUUAUAUAUGUUACUUAAACAGGGUUCUGUUUACACUUUUAAACAUUUUAUAGAAAAAUGUGUUUAGCUAAUGCUAAAUUGGUAUGUUUUUAUAUCAAUUAACGUUACAUUAAAUUAAAUUACAACUAAGGUGUCAGCGAUUAGCUUAACUACGUGAGUUGUGUAAGGUUAGUACGUUACGUUAGACUGGCCAAGCCUAACAUUACAUAACGUUAUUCCUGACUGGCUGUAAGCAUUUCUUCUAAUCUUGUCAAUGUGUUAACAUUAGAACAAAAUAGACCUGUGAAAUCAUGUUGGUAAAAUGUGGUUAAUGUGCACUGGCGGCAAGAAUUUAUGUUUCUACAUAAACAUAAUGGCAGGCAUAAGUUACGUUGGGUACCUGAAUUUAUCGUUUCUUUAAAAGUUUGUAUUUUUUUUACACCCGUAGACCCGCCCCUGCUCUGAAGCUGACUGGCUCCGACCGAUCGUGACGUCGCUCCACUUGCGCAAACCUAACCAAAGAGCUUCUUUGACCUAACCAACGAUUGCAACGAACACUAGCCAAUCAGAGGCAGGUCUUCGCGGAAUGCGCGUAGGAAAAGUAAACAAGCUUCUCUUUCGUGGCAGCUGCAUGGGUCGCAGUCCUCGUGGACUGUCUCCGACUCGACUUAUCAGAGUUUAAAACGUAAAGGACAUUGAAGGAGAUGGCAUCCAGAGAGACCUGCAGAAUUCCACCAUGGGCGUAUAUGUCAUCAACAAGGAGGGUGGAGAAAUUGGAGCACAUGAUGACAUUUAUGUUGAAGGAGAAAUCAUUCUGGACAACAUUGGAUCUGUAGCCCAAGCAUCUGCAAUGAUGCUGGGAGUCAUCUAUGUAGUGAACUUGGCCUACCCCAAAGAGCUGAAAUACUCUUAUGAAUUCAUUCAAAAUGUGCUCUUGAAAAUGGAUGGAGAAAGACUUUCCCCCAAAGUCCUUGGACUAAAGAACAAAAUCAUUGCUGGACUGUAGGAUUUCUUCAGCCGCUCAUGUAAACGCUGCUAAGCUGCAUUUUUAAAUCUGGUUUGGGAGGCGAUAGAAAACAUAUAGUAUGAUGUAAAAUGCAGCCCUAGAAAAUGUUUCAAACUGAAAACAAAGUGAGUGGUGGACUGUAAUACAUAGCCACUGGUGUGAACAUUUAAAGUUGUCAUUGGAUUUAGUGGAAUAUUCACCUGAAAUAAAAAUUGCAAUCCUGUAAAUAGGCCAGGUUUCUAUCCACACUCAGCACAAAAAGUAUCCAUCCAUCCAUUAACGCCAUAUGAAUUUUAGAAGUUAAGCGCUUUGAGAUAAACAGUUGAUGAUGUCUGCACCAUUAAGGCAUUGCAUAAGAAGAGGACACAAUGAGAUGACGUCAUUAAAAGAGCUCCAGUCAAAGUUCAAACAAUGGGGAACCAUGUGUAAAACAUGAAAUUAUGACAAUUCUUGUUAGUUUCAUGUGAGAAUGUUACAGCCUCCUCAUUGCUUCACACAGAUGUGAUGUUUUCAUUUGACACUAUUUUUAUUUUUUUUAGAGUAGCUUAAGCUUCAGUGGACAUUUAAGUCACGUUUCAUUUUAUUUAGUAAGUCUGUUUCCAUAUUUAUACACCAACUUUUUCACCUCAGCCAAACAUAAAAUCUAUUUUGUUAUAUAACAAUCUUUUUUUUAAUUAGUAUUUUUUUAAUGUAACUACAGUUUUUUGUAAUUUCAGCAUCAGGUCCUCAGUGUGCACUGUGUUGCAGCUGUGGACAGUUCUUGUACUAUAGCAUUUUUUGUUCUGUAUAGUACUGGUGUAUUUUGUUACUUGUAUAUGUUUUGUUGUGUGUUAAAAGGCUUCCCUCCAAAGUUCUCCUGUGUGUGUAUGUAUACAGCCACUAUUGUGAAUAUUUAAAGCUGCACUAAUGAUGUUUUGGAAUAUUGACUCAAUGUAAGUUUGCAGUUAAAUAUAAUCUCAUGCAAGUUAUUCAGUGUUCGCUGUCUUCCAGCUAAUCUGGUGCACUUGUUUUGUUACGAAUGGUACAAUGUAUUUUAUGUUAGUGGAUGAUAUACUGCAUUUUGUUAUAAGAAAACAAUUUGAGAAAUGAUUACUGAGUUACAUUACUGCCAUUCUUUGAGAGAGCAAAAAUAUCUCUUGGAUCACAAAAAUAAAGUUAGAGUUGAAAAUA